GCCUUGUUAGUGCAGUUGGUAGCAUGUCAGUCUCAUAAUCUGAAAGUUGUGAGCUCAAUCCUCACACAGGGCA